AGCUGAGUUCUGGAUGAACUCAGGUUCGGCAGCCGAAGGUUCAUUCGGCCGCCGAACCUCCUGCAUGGUGGCUUGGUUGCCACAGCUUGCCCCCGAGUGUUUUUGCAUGUUCGGCUCUGUUUGGGGGAUUCGGCCGCCGAAGGUGCCGCCGAAGGUGCUUGAGUUUCGUCUCUGGAGAGGACAUUCGGCCGCCGAACCUGCCGCCGAAAGUGUUCUGUCCAGCUUUUCUUUUGUAUGUUUUGCAUGAGCGUUAGAGUAAGAUUAAGGGGAUUCUUGGGUAGUUCAUUUCAGGUAGUUUGGUCCCUCAUUUAAGUCUUUAUGUGUUUAUACAGACCAGAGGAACCAGAGAGAGCACCAGUGAGUACUGCUCCAGAGUUUACUGAACCUGCAGAGUCAGUCCAGAGCCAGAGGUGAGUGGAACUAAACUUAGUGCUUUUAAUGACACAAUGGAAUGUUUUAGCAUAUCUCAUGCAUCAUGAUUAUGCAAAUAGGUUGACUGCAUUAGUAUUCACGAAUAUGGUACAUUGCAUUAUUAAUUGUUGGUGUGAGUAAAUGCUGAAUGAUCCAAUAGUCUCUGAGCUAAGACCAGGAGCCUUUGACUACGCCCUGGCAGGUAUAGUAAAGACCAGGAGCCUUUGACUACGCCCUGGCAAUGGUAAGUACAGAGGUGUUAUACACAUAUACAUAUAUGACAGGAAGACCAGG
rnacentral:lncRNA from 1 species